rnacentral:RNase_P_RNA from 1 species
AUGUUUUGGUAAUCGCUAUAAACGCUUGUUUAUAGAGGAAAGUCCAUGCUCACACAGGCUGCGAUGCCUGUAGUGUUCGUGCUUGAUGAAAAAAUAAAUCAAGGCAGUCACAUUUGUGAUUGACGGCAGGGAAGGACGCUAAGUCUUCGGAUAUGCGUUCAGGUACCUUGAAAGUGCCACAGUGACGAAGUCAGGCGGGAAACCGACCUGAGUGGAACGAGGUAAACCCCACGAGUGAGCAACCCAAAUUUUGGUAGGGGCAUCUUGGAUUAGGGAAUUGAACCGAAACAAGGACAUAGUGAUCUAUGUAGAUAGAUGGUUACCGCUAGAGUACGAGGCUGACCACCGUUUGUAGUGCUUUAGAACAGAACAUGGCUUAUAAAA